AGCACACUGGACUGAGACACGCCCAGACUCCUACGGGAGGCAGCAGUGGGAAUUUUGGACAAUGGGGGAACCCUGAUCCAGCCAUCCCGCGUGUGCGAUGAAGGCCUUCGGGUUGUAAAGCACUUUUGUCAGGGAAGAAAAGGUUUCGGAUAAUACCCGGAACUGAUGACGGUACCUGAAGAAUAAGCACCGGCUAACUACGUGCCAGCAGCCGCGGUAAUACGUAGGGUGCAAGCGUUAAUCGGAAUUACUGGGCGUAAAGCGUGCGCAGGCGGUUCGGAAAGAAAGAUGUGAAAUCCCAGGGCUCAACCUUGGAACUGCAUUUUUAACUACCGGACUAGAGUAUGUCAGAGGGGGGUGGAAUUCCACGUGUAGCAGUGAAAUGCGUAGAUAUGUGGAGGAACACCGAUGGCGAAGGCAGCCCCCUGGGAUAAUACUGACGCUCAUGCACGAAAGCGUGGGGAGCAAACAGGAUUAGAUACCCUGGUAGUCCACGCCCUAAACGAUGUCAACUAGCUGUUGGGCCCUUCGGGGCUUAGUAGCGCAGCUAACGCGUGAAGUUGACCGCCUGGGGAGUACGGUCGCAAGAUUAAAACUCAAAGGAAUUGACGGGGACCCGCACAAGCGGUGGAUGAUGUGGAUUAAUUCGAUGCAACGCGAAAAACCUUACCUACCCUUGACAUGUCUGGAAUCCUGAAGAGAUUUAGGAGUGCUCGCAAGAGAACCGGAACACAGGUGCUGCAUGGCUGUCGUCAGCUCGUGUCGUGAGAUGUUGGGUUAAGUCCCGCAACGAGCGCAACCCUUGUCAUUAGUUGCUACAUUUAGUUGAGCACUCUAAUGAGACUGCCGGUGACAAACCGGAGGAAGGUGGGGAUGACGUCAAGUCCUCAUGGCCCUUAUGGGUAGGGCUUCACACGUCAUACAAUGGUCGGGACAGAGGGUUGCCAAGCCGCAAGGUGGAGCCAAUCUCACAAACCCGAUCGUAGUCCGGAUUGCAGGCUGCAACUCGCCUGCAUGAAGUCGGAAUCGCUAGUAAUCGCGGAUCAG
rnacentral:rRNA from 1 species